UUCUUUUCUCCCUGGACUAGGUAGAGAACCCGCUCCGAUUGCAGCAAGGACGCCAUCUUGGAGAGGGAGGUGUCAACGACGCGCCUGCCGCAUCACGUGACCCGAGAGCCUGCGUUUUCCUCGCCGCCCGCCCUACGUUUUUCAACGUAGACUUUGACAUGGAGAAAAUGAGGCCCAGGGAGUCAAAGGAAAACGUCCACAGGUUUUCUGACUCUUGGUACCAUAUGCUGUUCUCUGAUUCCAUAAAUGCAGUUGCCUGCACGCCACGUCAGUCAAUUCAUACCCACAACCAAAGAAGGAAAACUGAAAGGGGAAGGGACUUACCCAAGGCGACCAAGGAAGGUGAUCUAGGAUUUGAACUCGGGUCUUCAUUUCAAGUUCACUGCCUUCACAGACUUGGCCGGAUCUCCAUCUCGACACAAUUCACCACCAAACCUCAAGGCUCACUCUUAGGAGACCACCAGUGUAAUGCUUAUUGAACUGAAAAAAAUAGAACUGAAGACUGAAUUCCUAUUAACUCAGUAGC